UACGGGAGGCAGCAGUGGGGAAUAUUGCACAAUGGGCGCAAGCCUGAUGCAGCCAUGCCGCGUGUAUGAAGAAGGCCUUCGGGUUGUAAAGUACUUUCAGUCGUGAGGAAGGUGUUAAGGUUAAUAACCUUAGCAAUUGACGUUAGCGACAGAAGAAGCACCGGCUAACUCCGUGCCAGCAGCCGCGGUAAUACGGAGGGUGCGAGCGUUAAUCGGAAUUACUGGGCGUAAAGGGCACGCAGGCGGUUAAUUAAGUUGGAUGUGAAAUCCCCGGGCUUAACCUGGGAAUGGCAUUCAAGACUGGUUAGCUAGAGUCUUGUACAGGGGGUAGAAUUCCAUGUGUAGCGGUGAAAUGCGUAGAGAUGUGGAGGAAUACCGGUGGCGAAGGCGGCCCCUGGACAAAGACUGACGCUCA
rnacentral:rRNA from 1 species